rnacentral:rRNA from 1 species
GGACGAACGCUGGCGGCACGCUUAACACAUGCAAGUCGAACGGAGAAUAUUGGUUUACUGAGUAUUCUUAGUGGCGGACGGGUGAGUAACACGUGAGCAACCUGCCUUUGAGAGAGGGAUAGCUUCUGGAAACGGAUGGUAAUACCUCAUAACAUAACGAAGCCGCAUGACUUUGUUAUCAAAGAUUUAUCACUCAAAGAUGGGCUCGCGUCUGAUUAGAUAGUUGGUGAGGUAACGGCUCACCAAGUCGACGAUCAGUAGCCGGACUGAGAGGUUGAACGGCCACAUUGGGACUGAGACACGGCCCAGACUCCUACGGGAGGCAGCAGUGGGGAAUAUUGCACAAUGGGGGGAAAAACCCCCUGAUGCAGCGAUGCCGCGUGGAGGAAGAAGGUUUUCGGAUUGUAAACUCCUGUCUUAAAGGACGAUAAUGACGGUACUUUAGGAGGAAGCUCCGGCUAACUACGUGCCAGCCGCCGC